GCAUUUAACAAAAUCAUUACAGGUGCAUCCUCAAUUUGUUUUAUAAAGUAGUAUUGUUAACAAAUUGGUUUUUGAAAGAAGGUUUAGAGCUAUUGGUUGUUCCCAAUUAUUUCAUGCAAGCUUAUCUAAUUAUACCUGCGUCUAGGUUUAUUAUGUUUAUACCAAUCAAGGCAUCAGGAGCAAACAAGUUAUAUAAUCCACUUUGGAGUCCCACACAAAGUGAUGUAGAACGAGAAGAACAAAGUGGUCAAGAAAAACACAUUCUUAAGACACUAAGGAAGAGAAACUCAUUUUCAAAUCUGUUAUCAAUUCUCAAUAAUAAUUUCAUAAU
rnacentral:misc_RNA from 1 species